GGAAUCUAUUCUAUUCAGCACACUAACAAAAAAAAACCCUAAUUUGAAACAUAUCUUAGAAAUUAGGUUUUUUUUUGUUAGUGUGUUGAAUAAAGUGGAUUCUUUGUACCCACAUGCUUUAUUCCUUGUUUAUUUCAUGGUUGAGCAUAGGGGGUAAGUCUAAAACUGUUAUUUCUCUGCGUUUUUGGAGAAUAAAAUGGAGGGUAGGACGAAAAAUGCAACAAAAAUGAUAAUUGAAGGAACGUUUUGUUCUGUUUUAAAAUGGCAGGACCAGUUUCGUG
rnacentral:lncRNA from 1 species